ACUCGGCCUCAGCGGCAGUGGAUCGACUCCGUCCUGCGGCCGUUGAGUAGUUUUCGAUUCCGGUGGAUUUUUGUCCCUCUGCGCUUACCCCCGCUCCCCACCCCCGGCCCCGGCACUCGUUCUCCUCCGCUCACGGAAAGGUCGCGGCCUGUGGCCCCGCGGGCAGCCGUGCAGAGAUGAACCCCAGCACCCCCAGCUACCCCAUGGCCUCUCUCUACGUGGGGGACCUGCACGCCGACGUGACCGAGGAGAUGCUCUACGAGAAGUUCAGCCCGGCCGGGCCCAUCCUCUCCAUCCGGGUCUGCAGGGACAUGAUCACCCACUGCUCCUUGGGCUACGCGUAUGUGAACUUCCAGCAGCCGGCGGAGGCGCAGCGUGCUUUGGACACCAUGAAUUUUGAUGUUAUAAAGGGCAAGCCAGUACACAUCAUGUAGUCUCAGCAUGAUCCAUCACUUCGCAAAAAUGGAGUAGGCAACAUAUUCGUUAAAAACCUGGACAAAUCCAUCGAUAAUAAGGCACUGUAUGAUACAUUUUCUGCUUUUGGUAACAUUCUUUCAUGUAAGGUGGUUUGUGAUGAAAAUGGUUCUAAGGGCUAUGGAUUUGUACACUUUGAAACACAGGAAGCAGCUGAAAGAGCUAUUGAAAAAAUGAACGGGAUGCUCCUAAAUGAUCGUAAAGUAUUUGUUGGACGAUUUAAGUCUCGUAAAGAACGGGAAGCUGAGCUUGGAGCUAGGGCAAAAGAGUUCACCAAUGUUUACAUCAAGAAUUUUGGAGAAGACAUGGAUGAUGAGCGCCUGAAGGAUCUCUUUGGCAAGUCUGGACCUGCCUUAAGCGUUAAAGUAAUGACUGAUGAAGUGGGAAAUCCAAAGGAUGUGGAUUCGUAAGCUUUGAAAGGCAUGAAGAUGCACAGAAAGCUGUGGAUGAGAUGAAUGGAAAGGAGCUCAAUGGAAAACAGAUUUAUGUCGGCCGAGCUCAGAAAAAAGUGGAACGGCAGACGGAAUUCAAGCGCAAAUUUGAGCAGAUGAAGCAAGAUAGGAUCACCAGAUACCAGGGUGUUAACCUUCAUGUGAAAAAUCUUGAUGAUGAACGUCUCCGGAUAGAGUUUUCUCCGUUUGGUACAAUAACUAGUGCAAAGGUUAUGAUGGAGGGUGAUCGCAGCAAAGGAUUUGGUUUUGUAUGUUUCUCCUCCCCAGAAGAAGCCACAAAAGCAGUUACAGAAAUGAACGGUAGAAUUGUGGCCACCAAGCCACUGUUAUGUAGCUUUAGCUCAGCGCAAAGAAGAGCGCCAGGCUCACCUCAUUAACCAGUAUAUGCAGAGAAUGGCAAGUGUACAAGCUGUGCCCAACCCUGUCAUAAACCCCUAUCAGCCAGCACCUCCCUUCAGGUUACUUCAUGGCAGCUAUCCCACAGACUCAGAACCGUGCUGCAUACUAAUCUUCCUAGCCAAAUUGCUCAACUAAGACCAAGUCCUCGCUGGACUGCUGAGGGUGCCAGACCUCAUCCAUUCUAAAAUAUGCCGGGUGCUAUCCUCCCAGCUGCUCCUAGACCACCGUUUAGUACUAUGAGACCAGCUUCUUCACAGGUUCCACGAGUCAUGUCAACACAGCGUGUUGCUAACACAUCAACACAAACAAUGGGUCCACGUCCUGCUGCUGCUGCUGCUGCAGCCACUCCCGCUGUCCGCACCGUUCCACAGUACAAAUAUGCCGCGGGAGUUCGCAAUCCUCAGCAACAUCUUAAUGCACAGCCACAAGUUACAAUGCAGCAGCCUGCUGUUCAUGUACAAGGUCAGGAACCUUUGACUGCUUCCAUGUUGGCAUCUGCCCCUCCUCAAGAGCAAAAGCAAAUGUUGGGUGAACGGCUGUUUCCUCUUAUUCAAGCCAUGCACCCUACUCUUGCUGGCAAAAUCACUGGCAUGUUGUUGGAGAUUGAUAAUUCAGAACUUCUUCACAUGCUUGAGUCUCCAGAGUCUCUUCGUUCAAAGGUCGAUGAAGCUGUAGCUGUACUACAAGCCCACCGAGCUAAAGAGGUUGCCCAGAAAGCAGUUAACAGUGCCACUGGUGUUCUAACUGUUUAAAAUUGAUCAGGGACCAUGAAAAGAAACUCGUGCUUCACCGAAGAAAAAUAUCUAAACAUCGAAAAACUUAAAUAUUAUGGAAAAAAACAUUGCAAAAUAUAAAA